CUGCUGUGCUCUUGCCACUCGCCACUGGAGUAGCUUUGCACUGUGAUGUGAUAGCACACUGAUUGAUCCGAUCUCACACUGUAUGGACGGCUCACAAUGGAAGACCGGCAUAAAGCUGGAUCCCUGGUGGCUCUAACCUCAAUGGAGAAGCUGUAUGUAUCUGAUUCGCCCAUUUUAGCAGCUUGGAGAAGAAAGUAAAAGCCAUAGAGGCUGAUGGUUUGAGUGCAGCACACUUUAAUUGCAAGUGAUUGAAGGACUGAAAAUCUCUGGGGACAGCCAUAAGUGUUAAAGUGUCAGAAAGUGUAAAGCACCCUAUCAAACAUCAUUCCAAACCGGAUGGCUUGUUUGGAGAAGUCAGUCACAGCCAUGUCGCCCCCGCU